GAGACUCAAAAGGGGCUUCUGAGAACUUAGGCUGGUUCCAGGUGCCACCUGAAAAUUGUGCUCCUUAUCACUUGCCCAAGCGGAUCCUUUUCAAGUGUGGAAAGCCUUUGAUGUUUAGCUUCCCCUGGUGUUGUCCUGCCAAGAAAGGUGGGUGGAAGGGAAGGUUAUGUUUUAAAUAUGUUUUAAGA
rnacentral:lncRNA from 1 species